rnacentral:sRNA from 1 species
UUCUAGCCCCGAUAGCAGUGAAAAUCCUUUGCUUUGGCGGUAGCCAGAAGCAAAGAUUGUAGCGUAUAGCGGGACAAAAC